rnacentral:lncRNA from 1 species
UUUCAAAUAAAUUGUAAAUUUUCUUACAUUCCUGAUAUUUAAAAAAAUAAAUAAACCAUUUCCAUUGGUUCCGUUUAAUUUGAUGUAUUUUUUUUGCAAUGUAUAUUCUUCAGUCUAUUUUUAUUUCAAAUAUUGUUCUUAUGACAUUUUGGCAAACGUACACAAAAAUGUCAGAGAGCUUGUUGCUUGCCUGAUAUGAUACAGUAUUCCUACUGUGUCUAAAAUGAAUUUGAACUAUUUGGUUUUUUUUCUGGAAAACAAUUUUUAACACCCAUCCGUUAUCCCGAAUGUAUAGAAAAGUAGUCAGAUGGGAAUGGAAAUGGGGAAUCACUAAUGUAACAACAGCCCACGAAAAGGCCGUGAAAUGUCUGUGAAAUAUCACAGGGCCGUGAAAACCCCGUGAAAAUACCCCGUGACUUUUAUAAAAAAAAAAUUUGAAGGCCGUGAACAAUAUUUGAUGUUAGAAAAAGACCGUGAAAUUUCGAUAUUCCGUGAAAAGGCCACGAUGAUUUGUCUUUUCAUGCUUGAUAAAAAAAAAAACACGGCCUUCCUUUUCACUGAAGACCGUGCUAUUUUGUCAUGUCAUUUUUUUCUUAUCCUAAUUCAGAUUUAAAACAUCCCAUGUGAUUAUUGUAAUAUGGUCUUAUUAUUUUCAUACACAUUUUUCUAAAUAUCCAAUAAACUUUUCAUUAUAAAUAUAUGUCUUUUUAAAUAUUAUUAUAUACAAUACUACUGUAC